AUUAAAGUGUCUGAAUAAAGUAAUAAACUGUAAAUUUAUUUAAGAAAUAAAAUUUCCUUUAAUA
rnacentral:tRNA from 1 species